rnacentral:lncRNA from 1 species
ACAAAUCCUAAGGAGCAUUGUAAGGCGAUUAUGACGAGAAGUGGAAGGGAGUUGGGUAGUGAAAAUGAAAAAAGAGUGGAGAGUGAAAAAAGAGAGAAAGAGAAGGAGAUUGAGGAGGAAAUAGUGGAUGAAAAUGUUGAUGGUGAAGUAGGAGUGUGGAGUGAUGAGGAAGUAGUUGAAAAUAAUAAAAAUAAUGGUGAAGUUGAACAAGAAAAAGGUGUGGAGAUUGAGGAAAAUAAA